rnacentral:rRNA from 1 species
AUUGAACGCUGGCGGCAUGCCUUACACAUGCAAGUCGAACGGCAGCGCGGGAGCAAUCCUGGCGGCGAGUGGCGAACGGGUGAGUAAUAUAUCGGAACGUGCCCAGUAGUGGGGGAUAGCCCGGCGAAAGCCGGAUUAAUACCGCAUACGACCUGAGGGUGAAAGCGGGGGAUCGCAAGACCUCGCGCGAUUGGAGCGGCCGAUAUCAGAUUAGGUAGUUGGUGGGGUAAAGGCCUACCAAGCCGACGAUCUGUAGCUGGUCUGAGAGGACGACCAGCCACACUGGGACUGAGACACGGCCCAGACUCCUACGGGAGGCAGCAGUGGGGAAUAUUGGACAAUGGGGGAAACCCUGAUCCAGCAAUGCCGCGUGAAUGAUGAAGGCCUUAGGGUUGUAAAGUUCUUUCACCUGUGAAGAUAAUGACGGUAGCAGGAGAAGAAGCCCCGGCAAACUCCGUGCCAGCAGCCGCGGUAAGGAUGAGACGU